UUUUGGAGGGGCAAGUCUGGUGCCAGCAGCCGCGGUAAUUCCAGCUCCAAUAGCGUAUAUUAAAGUUGUUGCAGUUAAAAAGCUCGUAGUUGAAUUUCGGGAUUGACACAUCGGUCGUGCCYUAAGGGGUAUGAACUGGUGUAGUCAAUUUCUCACCUUCUGGAGAACCGCGAUGCCCUUAAUUGGGUGUCACGGGGAACCAGGACCUUUACUUUGAAAAAAUUAGAGUGUUUAAAGCAGGCAUUUUGCUUGAAUACAUUAGCAUGGAAUAAUAAAAUAGGACGGCAUGAUUCUAUUUUGUUGGUUUCUAGGAUCACCGUAAUGAUUAAUAGGGAUAGUUGGGGGCAUUAGUAUUCAAUUGUCAGAGGUGAAAUUCUUGGAUUUAUUGAAGACUAACUACUGCGAAAGCAUUUGCCAAGGAUGUUUUCAUUAAUCAAGAACGAAAGUUAGGGGAUCGAAGACGAUCAGAUACCGUCGUAGUCUUAACCAUAAACUAUGCCGACUAKGARUCRGMUMGACGUAGCSG
rnacentral:rRNA from 1 species